GGGAUCGAGAAGGUCCAUCAUCCGGAUCGUCCUCACGACCAUCUCGGAGUCAGUUAUCUCUACAUGGAUCCUCACCAAUUGAAGAUAUUGCGGGGACAUCUCAAAUGGGUACACCGCAACAUCAAGAUGCAUUACCAGGUAUAGGUAUUAUACAUUUGUAAUAUAUUUUAAUGUAAUGUAAUGAUAUUUUAUAUUCCUAAUAAA